GACGAACGCUGGCGGCGUGCCUAAUACAUGCAAGUAGAACGCUGAAGGAGGAGCUUGCUUCUCUGGAUGAGUUGCGAACGGGUGAGUAACGCGUAGGUAACCUGCCUGGUAGCGGGGGAUAACUAUUGGAAACGAUAGCUAGUACCGCAUAAUAGUAGAUGUUGCAUGACAUUUGCUUAAAAGGUGCAAUUGCAUCACUACCAGAUGGACCUGCGUUGUAUUAGCUAGUUGGUGGGGUAACGGCUCACCAAGGCGACGAUACAUAGCCGACCUGAGAGGGUGAUCGGCCACACUGGGACUGAGACACGGCCCAGACUCCUACGGGAGGCAGCAGUAGGGAAUCUUCGGCAAUGGACGGAAGUCUGACCGAGCAACGCCGCGUGAGUGAAGAAGGGUUUCGGAUCGUAAAGCUCUGUUGUAAGAGAAGAACGAGUGUGAGAGUGGAAAGUUCACACUGUGACGGUAUCUUACCAGAAAGGGACGGCUAACUACGUG
rnacentral:rRNA from 1 species